UUUACUUUGCUCUAAUAAUAAAAAUUGUAAAUUGUUUAACUAUGGAAUGGAAGUUGUGCAUAAAAUCCAGCAUGAGGUUUUGAACAAUAUUAGAAAUAAUAAUUCAGUAAACAUAAAAGUACAUAACAAAAAAGGUGCCAGCAGUUGCGGUCAUACCUUAAUGUACACAAUUUCAUUACUUUAGGUUGGAUUAUUCCAAAUAAAAUUUUUAGAAGGCAGUAAAAUGCUUCUACCUAUUGUGGUCUUAUUACUGGAUUACCUAUCUCCACCGAAAACUCCUAAAAAAUAGACUAGGAUUAGAUACCCUAUUAUAGGUUAGAGCUAAAACAAGAAACCUAAGCACUAAAAUCAAUAUGAUUAAAACUUAAAGAGCAUGGCGGUAAGUUUUAACUUUAGGGGAACUUACCAGGUAAUAGAUAACACACAAGUUACUCAACUUAUAUUAACAGUUUAUAUAUUGCCGUUGUAAGGUUACAUUUAAAAUAUAACCGUUAAAUCCCCGGAUUUGAAAACAGGUCAUGGUGUAGCUUAUAUAUAAGUCUUUAAGGCGAGUUACAAUAUUUUUUUCAGGUAAGAUAUGAAAAUUUAUCUUAAAUAGAUGGACUUAAAAGUAAUAUUUAAAAUUAUAAUUUGAAUUAAAAAAAACUUGUGCACAAAUCGCCCGUCACUCUCGUUGAUGAAAUUCAAACGAGAUAAGUCGUAACAUAGUAGAGGUAGUGGAAACUGU
rnacentral:ncRNA from 1 species